AGAGAUAAUGUUAAUAUUCUUACCGGUAAAUGGAAGCACAUUGCAUUCCGGAGAUGACAGCGAAUAAAGAAUGAAGAUUGUUUAGGUCGUAUAAUUUUUUAGCAACCCUGAUGAAAUGAAUUAAUAUUUCACAACGUUGCUUUGGUGUGGGAGCAUUCAGUAUCUCCUGGACAGUCCAGAAACUGACCUGAACAACUUGAUAAUUCCUCGGGUCGAAUUGAUUGAAAAGCGCUUAGAUCUAAAAGCGUUAGCUGAGUAGCCAAAUCCUCUGCUUGUAUAUUUGUUGCAACUGUAACGUUGGCGACAGGUGAGUUGCUGUUGCAUCGUCCAGGUAGGGAAUUA
rnacentral:misc_RNA from 1 species